rnacentral:rRNA from 1 species
GACGAACGCUGGCGGCGUGCUUAACACAUGCAAGUCGAGCGGAAAGGCCCUUUCGGGGGUACUCGAGCGGCGAACGGGUGAGUAACACGUGAGUAAUCUGCCCCUGGCUUUGGGAUAGCCACCGGAAACGGUGAUUAAUACCGGAUACGACCACUUCUCGCAUGGGAUGGUGGUGGAAAGUUUUUCGGCCAGGGAUGUGCUCGCGGCCUAUCAGCUUGAUGGUGAGGUAAUGGCUCACCAUGGCUUCGACGGGUAGCCGGCCUGAGAGGGUGACGGGUCGCACGGGGACUGAGAAACGGCCCAGACUCCUACGGGAAGCAGCAGUGGGGAAUAUUGGACAAUGGGCGGAAGCCUGAUCCAGCAACGCCGCGUGAGGGAUGACGGCCUUCGGGUUGUAAACCUCUUUCAGCAGGGACGAAGCGCAAGUGACGGUACCUGCAGAAGAAGCACCGGCCAACUACGUGCCAGCCGCCGCCGUAA